rnacentral:rRNA from 1 species
AGAGUUUGAUCCUGGCUCAGGAUGAACGCUAGCUACAGGCUUAACACAUGCAAGUCGAGGGGCAGCAUGAACUUAGCUUGCUAAGUUUGAUGGCGACCGGCGCACGGGUGAGUAACACGUAUCCAACCUGCCGAUGACUCGGGGAUAGCCUUUCGAAAGAAAGAUUAAUACCCGAUGGCAUAGUUCUUCCGCAUGGUAGAACUAUUAAAGAAUUUCGGUCAUCGAUGGGGAUGCGUUCCAUUAGGUUGUUGGCGGGGUAACGGCCCACCAAGCCUUCGAUGGAUAGGGGUUCUGAGAGGAAGGUCCCCCACAUUGGAACUGAGACACGGUCCAAACUCCUACGGGAGGCAGCAGUGAGGAAUAUUGGUCAAUGGGCGCGAGCCUGAACCAGCCAAGUAGCGUGAAGGAUGAAGGCUCUAUGGGUCGUAAACUUCUUUUAUAUGGGAAUAAAGUUUUCCACGUGUGGAAUUUUGUAUGUACCAUAUGAAUAAGGAUCGGCUAACUCCGUGCCAGCAGCCGCGGUAAUACGGAGGAUCCGAGCGUUAUCCGGAUUUAUUGGGUUUAAAGGGAGCGUAGGUGGAUUGUUAAGUCAGUUGUGAAAGUUUGCGGCUCAACCGUAAAAUUGCAGUUGAAACUGGCAGUCUUGAGUACAGUAGAGGUGGGCGGAAUUCGUGGUGUAGCGGUGAAAUGCUUAGAUAUCACGAAGAACUCAGAUUGCGAAGGCAGCUCACUAGACUGUCACUGACACUGAUGCUCGAAAGUGUGGGUAUCAAACAGGAUUAGAUACCCUGGUAGUCCACACAGUAAACGAUGAAUACUCGCUGUUUGCGAUAUACAGUAAGCGGCCAAGCGAAAGCAUUAAGUAUUCCACCUGGGGAGUACGCUGGCAACGGUGAAACUCAAAGGAAUUGACGGGGGCCCGCACAAGCGGAGGAACAUGUGGUUUAAUUCGAUGAUACGCGAGGAACCUUACCCGGGCUUAAAUUGCAACAGAAUAUAUUGGAAACAGUAUAGCCGUAAGGCUGUUGUGAAGGUGCUGCAUGGUUGUCGUCAGCUCGUGCCGUGAGGUGUCGGCUUAAGUGCCAUAACGAGCGCAACCCUUAUCUUUAGUUACUAACAGGUUAUGCUGAGGACUCUAGAGAGACUGCCGUCGUAAGAUGUGAGGAAGGUGGGGAUGACGUCAAAUCAGCACGGCCCUUACGUCCGGGGCUACACACGUGUUACAAUGGGGGGUACAGAAGGCGGCUACCUGGUGACAGGAUGCUAAUCCCAAAAACCUCUCUCAGUUCGGAUCGAAGUCUGCAACCCGACUUCGUGAAGCUGGAUUCGCUAGUAAUCGCGCAUCAGCCAUGGCGCGGUGAAUACGUUCCCGGGCCUUGUACUCACCGCCCGUCA